CUAAUAUUUUCCCCACUCUUUUUUUAAAAGCUUAGCUUUACAGAUGGGUUUUUUUGCCAUGAAUGUAUGUCAACAUUCAGCACUGUAAAGUGUUGCUGGGGCUUCUGUACUAUGUGGCGUAGACUGGUGAAAGCAUAAGUGUUCUGAAGCAGUGAACUUUAAAGAGCUUUCUCAGUAUCUGGAUCUGGCAAUAACAUCUUCAGAAGCCUCAGAAUGAGCUUGCUGUAAAGUACUGAUGUUAGUCAUACAUAGAUUCAAAGUGUAGAUGCACAUCCUGAUAGCUUAAAAAUUCUGCUACUUUUAAGAUGAUGCUUUCAAGUUAAGUCUGUAAGGAAGAGAUUUAUUCAAGCUGUAGGAGUACUCAGAGGCAUUUCUGUUGCAUUACAUGUCCGCAGACAGCAUAAGUGUAGCCAAAUAGAAAGAAAAACAUUGAGCUUGGCUUCCUGUAAAGCUAUAUUAAACUUUCAUGAAGCUUGCUGCUGCCUUAGCUGUGCUUGGUAUAUCGUGGUGCUGCUUAUAGUCUUUGCUGCUGCACAGAAAGAACACCAUCAGAAAGGGUAGCUGUGUAGUUGAUCUUUGACAUGAUCUAUGCACGUUAUGAAAGCAUUAGCUGUCGGUACUUUCUUUUGAUAAGCACAGCUUUGUAAGGCAGCAAGUAUUCCAUCUGCGAGGCUGGUAUUGACACUGAACCAAGAAUGAGCCUGCAUCCUUAGAUGGUUAACAUUUUAGUCCUUUUACGGUAGGGUGCUUUCAUUCAUGGCAUAAUUUUCAGCUGCAGCUGUAACUAGUAAUUGGUACAACCUGUGUCCUCGGAGUUGUUGGGAUUUCUUCCAGCUGGAAUUUAAAUGUACCCCAAUGUGCACACAAUGUGCCCUUGUUUGAUUUUGAAAGUACUUAGCAUACUGGGGCAGCAGGGCAUAGGAAGGACUCCUGAGAGAAAUGGAGUAUGUCUGUAGGAGGUGGCUGUUGCCAAUCCUAUGUUUUGGUGUAGGUAGAACAAACAGAGCACUAAGCUAAACACUUGUCGCUUUUGAAUUUUGUUUAAGGUGCAAUUAUGAAACUAGCAAGGCUUUUAUUUUAAUGCAAACAUUAGAGAUGAGAGAGCACAUUCAAGACCUGCUUGCCCAGUGCACGUUAGUUAAAUUAGAUGGACUUUCCUUAUGAAGCACUGAAUAAUCCUGUUGUUGGUGUAAGGGCAGGCUAAGCUGUAUGCAAUUUUAAUGUUACUGCUCUCCUUAGACUGGUGGACUGGUCUACUAAGAGUUGUUCACCAUUCAGUGAAUGUCUUUAUAAAGUGUACAGUUGCCUUUUAGUUUAUGGCAGGUUACUACAUUUCAAUUACUCAAGCUUGAGGCUCCAAGUCCCCAGCUAAGCAAGAAGCUGAAUGGCCACAGUGAUAGCUAAAGCCAAUGGUUCCUGCAAGCACUUCAGUUUUUUGUGAACUGGACAGGAUUCUCAGAACAGGAGCUCCAGUGGGAAGAGAGUUAAGUUCAGAACAUUCCUGAUGGUAAACACUUAAGUGGCUAAUAUUUGGCAUGCCAGAUUAUCUGGCUGACGUGGUGAUCAUCUCUUGAGGUCCUUUUAGUGAAACAUUCUCCACUUUCUGGACUGCAGCCUGAGCUUAUUCCAAGCUCCAUUUCAUUCCACUGCAGGUUUCACUAGUGCAGUGCAUCUUUGAACCACUGAAGCCAUUAUGCUAAUAACUGAAUUAUAAGCAUAGUGAGUUAUUUCAUGCUUCCUGUGCUUUUGGUGCUAAUUCUACUUCAGCAUUUUGAUUUAAUACAAAUACCUUACAUGAAGUUUGUUUCCUAAGAUAUACUUUGAAUUGCUUCAGUGGGUCAGACCCUGUUCUCUGCAUUCAUUUUGGGCUUUGUCUCCCAGCUAGUAUGUCAGAGAUGCAUGGCAUUUGAUAGACAUUUUCUCUCUCUCAGGAGUGAAAUUCAGCAUGUGCUGUAGACUGACUUCAAAGAGUUUCUCCCAGUUUCUCUGUGGAAAUUUAGCCUACUUACACCAGCGGAUCUAUGAGAGACUAUAUUACAGUGUUUCAUCUGCUGGAGUCCACAAAUCAUUUGAUAGUCUUCUUCAAAAACAAUGUAUUUAGGUGGUUCAUUACCAAAGGAAAAAGUUAGACUAGCAGGAUUUAUAGAGCCGGGUAAGAACAAACUAAAACGAAACAAAAGCAACUCUCCAAACCCAGAAUGUUUUGUGGGGUUUUUUUUUAUUUGUUUGGUUGGGUUUUUCUUGCUUUAAAUCAUCCUGAAUGCCUUUUCUCAGCAGUGUGCUAGUGUACCUUUGUGCCACCAUGUUUCUCCUGUUAAUAUGUGGUCAUUGCUUUUGAGCUGUAAAUACUCCAGAGCAGACCAAACCUUCCAGGAAAAGUCUUCAAGGGCAUUUCCAUUGCUAUGAUCCACUGAAAGUGGGUUGCUGGAAAUCUCUGGACUUGCUGCCAGAAGAAAUGGGUUUGAUUGGAAGACCCUCUGUGAUGCAAGAAACUCCAAGCAGAAAUCUUUGAGAGGACUUAUUGCUAGUAAAAUAUAGACACUCUCAAAGUAAGAACAAAGUAAAGCUACCAGCUGUCAGCUGGAAGAAGGAAGAAAGGAAGAAAGAAAUGAAAAAAACUUUGUGUGUAGUUGACAGUUAAUCUGUAAGUUGCUGCAGACUGCAUUUAGCCUUUGUAGUAUCUAGAGAGAAAAAGAUGUCAUCCACGAUCACACAUAUUCCCCUGUACCACCAUCAGAAGGUUGUUCAGGCCUUACCUCUUCAAAGAUUUGUGCAUGUAUUUAAUCUUACUGAUUUAAUCUUACUUUUCAAAUGGUAAAAUUAAGCAUGUAGGUCAAUCUUUGCAGGAAUGAAAUGUGCACUUUUGUUUUUCUCGAAGUACAUGUCAGCUAAGCCAAACUG